rnacentral:rRNA from 1 species
AACGAACGCUGGCGGCAUGCCUAACACAUGCAAGUCGAACGAGACCUUCGGGUCUAGUGGCGCACGGGUGCGUAACGCGUGGGAACCUGCCCUUAGGUUCGGAAUAACUCCCCGAAAGGGGUGCUAAUACCGGAUAAUGUCUUCGGACCAAAGAUUUAUCGCCUUUGGAUGGGCCCGCGUUGGAUUAGCUAGUUGGUAGGGUAAAAGCCUACCAAGGCGACGAUCCAUAGCUGGUCUGAGAGGAUGAUCAGCCACACUGAGAGUAGGACACGGCCCAGACUCCUACGGGAGGCAGCAGUGGGGAAUAUAGGACAAUGGGCGAAAGCCUGAUCCAGCAAUGCCGGGUGAGUGAUGAAGUCCUUAGAGUUGUAAAGCUCUUUUACCCGGGAUGAUAAUGACGGUACCGAGAGAAUAAGCACCGGCUAACUCCGUG